rnacentral:rRNA from 1 species
UGGGGAAUAUUGGACAAUGGGGGCAACCCUGAUCCAGCAAUGCCGCGUGUGUGAAGAAGGUCUUCGGAUUGUAAAGCACUUUCGACGGGGACGAUGAUAACGGUACCCGUAGAAGAAGCCCCGGCUAACUUCGUGCCAGCAGCCGCGGUAAUACGAAGGGGGCUAGCGUUGCUCGGAAUGACUGGGCGUAAAGGGCGUGUAGGCGGUUUACACAGUCAGAUGUGAAAUCCCCGGGCUUAACCUGGGAGCUGCAUUUGAUACGUGUAGACUAGAGUGUGAGAGAGGGUUGUGGAAUUCCCAGUGUAGAGGUGAAAUUCGUAGAUAUUGGGAAGAACACCGGUGGCGAAGGCGGCAACCUGGCUCAUGACUGACGCUGAGGCGCGAAAAGCGUGG